UUCGGUCCGCUGACGAGUGGCGAACGGGUGAGUAACACGUGGAGACCUGUCCUAGGGUACGGGAUAACAGUUAGAAAUGACUGCUAAUACCGUAUACGUCCUACGGGAGAAAGAUUUAUUGCCCUUGGAGGGUUCCGCGUCGGAUUAGCUAGUUGGUGAGGUAACGGCUCACCAAGGCGACGAUCCGUAGCUGGUCUUAGAGGACGAUCAGCCACACUGGGACUGAGACACGGCCCAGACUCCUACGGGAGGCAGCAGUGGGGAAUAUUGCGCAAUGGGGGCAACCCUGACGCAGCGAUGCCGCGUGAGUGAAGAAGGCCUUCGGGUUGUAAAGCUCUUUCAGUAGGGAAGAUUAUGACGGUACCUACAGAAGAAGCUCCGGCUAACUCCGUGCCAGCAGCCGCGGUAAUACGGAGGGGGCAAGCGUUGUUCGGAAUUAUUGGGCGUAAAGAGCACGUAGGCUGUAAGAUAAG
rnacentral:rRNA from 1 species